rnacentral:rRNA from 1 species
GGGGGGGGUAACAUAAGUGCUUGCACUUGCUGACGACCGGCGCACGGGUGAGUAACGCGUAUACAAUCUACCUUAUACUAGGGGAUAGCCUUUAGAAAUGAAGAUAUUAAUACCCUAUAGUCUAUUAAUAUGGCCUCAUAUAAAUAGUAAAGGUUACGGUAUAAGAUGAGUAUGCGUCCUAUUAGUUAGUUGGUAAGGUAACGGCUUACCAAGACAACGAUAGGUAGGGGCCCUGAGAGGGGGAUCCCCCACACUGGUACUGAGACACGGACCAGACUCCUACGGGAGGCAGCAGUGAGGAAUAUUGGACAAUGGAGGCAACUCUGAUCCAGCCAUGCCGCGUGCAGGAAGACUGCCCUAUGGGUUGUAAACUGCUUUUAUAUAGGAAGAAACCUUCUCACGUGUGAGAAAUUGACGGUACUAUAAGAAUAAGGACCGGCUAACUCCGUGCCAGCAGCCGCGGUAAUACGGAGGGUCCGAGCGUUAUCCGGAAUCAUUGGGUUUAAAGGGUCCGUAGGCGGGAAUCUAAGUCAGUGGUGAAAUCUUGCAGCUCAACUGUAAAAUUGCCAUUGAUACUGGAUUUCUUGAAUUAGUGUGAAGUGGUUAGAAUGUGUAGUGUAGCGGUGAAAUGCAUAGAUAUUACACAGAAUACCAAUUGCGAAGGCAGAUCACUAACACUAUAUUGACACUGAUGGAAGAAAGCGUGGGGAGCGAACAGGAUUAGAUACCCUGGUAGUCCACGCCGUAAACGAUGGUUACUAGCUGUUCGAACUUCGGUUUGAGUGGCUAAGCGAAAGUGAUAAGUAACCCACCUGGGGAGUACGUUCGCAAGAAUGAAACUCAAAGGAAUUGACGGGGGCCCGCACAAGCGGUGGAGCAUGUGGUUUAAUUCGAUGAUACGCGAGGAACCUUACCAGGGCUUAAAUGUAGAUUGACAGGACUAGAGAUAGUUUUUCCUUCGGGCAAUUUACAAGGUGCUGCAUGGUUGUCGUCAGCUCGUGCCGUGAGGUGUCAGGUUAAGUCCUAUAACGAGCGCAACCCCUGUUGUUAGUUGCCAGCGAGUCAAGUCGGGAACUCUAACAAGACUGCCAGUGCAAACUGUGAGGAAGGUGGGGAUGACGUCAAAUCAUCACGGCCCUUACGUCCUGGGCUACACACGUGCUACAAUGGUAGGUACAGAGAGCAGCCACUGCGCGAGCAGGAGCGAAUCUAUAAAACCUAUCACAGUUCGGAUCGGAGUCUGCAACUCGACUCCGUGAAGCUGGAAUCG